rnacentral:misc_RNA from 1 species
UCUCCGUUGGCGAACCAGCGGAGGGAUCAUUACAGAGUUGCAAAACUCCCAAACCAUUGUGAACGUUACCUAUCCCGUUGCUUCGGCGGGCGGCCCGGGCCCCGCGCCCGGCGCCCCCCGGCCCCCCGUGGGCGCCCGCCGGAGGUAAACCAAACCCUUGAAUUGCAUGGCCUCUCUGAGUCUUCUGUACUGAAUAAGUCAAAGCUUUCAACAACGGAUCUCUUGGUUCUG